AGGAGAAGGAGACAGUACAAGUGAAGGCACAAGGUGUACACGGGGUCGAUGUCUUCACGGACCAGGUAGAACAUGAGAAGCAAAGGAUCCUCACAGAAUUUGAACUCCUGCAUCAAGUCCUAGAGGAGGAGAAGAAUUUCCUGCUAUCACGGAUUUACUGGCUGGGUCAUGAGGGAACGGAAGCGGGGAAACACUAUGUUGCCUCCACUGAGCCACAGUUGAACGAUCUCAAGAAGCUCAUUGAUUCCCUGAAGACCAAGCAGAACAUGCCACCCAGGCAGCUGCUGGAGGAUAUCAAAGUCGUCUUGUGCAGGUAUGAUGGGCCACCCCAAAUGUAUUUUGCCUACUGAUUCAUCCACAUACAAUUCUCAGCGUAUAUCCAAAUGCAGUCAACAUUCCUCUCUCAGAAAUACCCACCCACCUCUAACUUUGCAUUCAUACAUUUAGGCUGCAGCCGGGGAAUGCCUAUGCCAACCAUAUUAGCACGUGGUUGGUUGUUAAAGAAACCAGCUGUUUUCUCAGGCUUCCUCCUUCUUCAGCACAGAUUCUACUAUUUCCUGAAUGCCCCCUUGCUCAACUGAAUAGCUCCUGGG
rnacentral:sRNA from 1 species